CCUCAGAGGACAACGUCCAUCUCACCAGCGCCAGGCCGCAAGAGUUCACCCGGAAACAGCAGUGGAUUGGCUAAUCGGCCCAGUGCCCAGUUAAUAAGAGCAAGUAAUCCUGACCUGCGUAAGAAUGACAACCUGUUGGAGACUCCCCUGCAACGCACUAGCAGUGGCAGCUCAUCCAGUUCCAGCACUCCCAGCUCCCAACCUGGCUCCCAGAGUGGAUCCCAGAGCAGUUCCCAACCAGGUUCCCAAAGUGGAUCCAACGAGCGCAACCAAAUCCGGGGAACAGGGAAGCCUGAAGGAUCACCAGUUCUUCCUCAUGAGAGUUCGCGAGUGAAAGCAGAAGAAGGACGGGAGUUGACACGGCCUGGGAGACCUGCUG